AUGUCCCUCUUGGCGCCUCACCUGGGGCAGCAGCAGGUGUGGCGGGCACAGGGGCUCGGCGCCAAGGACCCGCUGGAGGACGACUUGCAUGGCUGCGGCCUGCAGCACGAAGGGGGUGGGCGGCGGUGGCCGCUCCUUCAUCUCAUGCUUCAGGACUCGCCGCACCUGCUCGGUGUCCUGUGGGGCCACGUGUGCGACGCUGCCCCAGCCCCUGGCGCUGACCGGCCAUGGCGGCCGAGGCGGAAACUGGAACCCAGGGUCGAGGCUCUUUGUGCACCCUCCCAACCGAGUCUUGCAGCUGCAGGUGUGUACACAUGUUCCAGUUCCUCUCCCCAGGGAGAGCAGGAGGUCCACUGGCCAACACUUAUUAAGCACCUGGUGGCCCAGAUUUCAGAACCAAAGCUCAUCACAAGGAAGCAACCUGCAAACCCAACAUUUUCUAAGAUAGAGUGGAUAGAGUUUUGAAAGAAGGUGAACAUUCUGCAUGUCAAGAUCUACUUUAAAUACUUUUCUGAAUAAAUAGAUUGAUGGAAAAAUUCA
rnacentral:lncRNA from 13 species